rnacentral:rRNA from 1 species
CAGCCGCCGCGGGAAUACGUAGGUGGCAAGCGUUGUCCGGAAUUAUUGGGCGCAAAGGGCUCGCAGGCGGUUUCUUAAGUCUGAUGUGAAAGCCCCCGGCUCAACCGGGGAGGGUCAUUGGAAACUGGGAAACUUGAGUGCAGAAGAGGAGAGUGGAAUUCCACGUGUAGCGAUGAAAUGCGUAGAGAUGUGGAGGAACACCAGUGGCGAAGGCGACUCUCUGGUCUGUAACUGACGCUGCGGAGCGAAAGCGUGGGGAGCGAACAGGAUUAGAGACCCCAGUAGUCCCUGUCUCUUAUAC